ensembl:snoRNA small nucleolar RNA, C/D box 121A
GUCCAAAAUAGAAUGAUGUUGUCUUUUCCAAGCACAUACCUGAUUGUUCUGUGUGGAAAAUGACUGAUGCUGAGUGAUUUUGGAU